CAGGGUUUUUACAUCAUGACAUAUGGUGAGGAGGAGGAUCUUGACAGUCUUCCCGAAAAAAGAUGCUCACGUCAGCGAUUAUCUGGCUGCCGAGAAAGAUGUCACCCAAAGUCUGGUCCAUGGUGUUGGAGAAAGUGUUCAAAUCUGUUCAGGAAAAGACAUGGAUGAAUGAAACCGCAUGGACAGGUCCCACAAAUAUGAGAGUCAUACUGUAAGUCCUCUAUUAUUUGCCCUACUAGAUGAGAAAUGUUUCUGUGCAGUUCCCA
rnacentral:lncRNA from 11 species